UUAAACUUGAGAGUUUGAUCAUGGCUCAGAAUGUACGCUGGCGGCACGCCUAACACAUGCAAGUCGAGCGAGGUACUUGUACCUAGCGGCAGACGGGUGCGUAACAUGUGGGAAUCUGCCUUUUGGUUCGGAACAACAUGGGGAAACCUGUGCUAAUACCGGAUAAGUCCUUACGGAGAAAGAUUUAUCGCCGAAAGAUGAGCCCGCACUAGAUUAGCUUGUUGGUAAGGUAAAAGCUUACCAAGGCAACGAUCUAUAGCUGAUUUGAGAGGAUGAUCAGCCACACUGGGACUGAGACACGGCCCAGACUCCUACGGGAGGCAGCAGUGGGGAAUCUUGCACAAUGGAGGAAACUCUGAUGCAGCGAUGCCGCGUGAGUGAAGAAGGCCCUUGGGUUGUAAAGCUCUUUUGUCGGGAAAGAUAAUGACUGUACCCGAAGAAUAAGGUCCGGCUAACUUCGUGCCAGC
rnacentral:rRNA from 1 species